rnacentral:rRNA from 1 species
AUGUCCGUCAAGGCGUGCUUCGGCAACGUCGCCAACGCGCUCGUCGACUGGGACGGCGGCCGCGACCACUGCCCCUGGCGGGGGUCGUCGCCUGCGACACCAACUCCUUCGCCUGGAGGAAGCUCAAAGGAAGCAAGACUUCAACAAAAAUCUCUGAAUGCAUUCCAAGCUUCUGUACGGCGUACGUCGUUUCAAAGGGCAAACUGUCAUUCGUGCACUCUUACACCUGAUGCCUAUGAAACACCCAAGACCAUAUCUUCUUCAACCGUUUCUUCUCCUAGCUCUGGAAGCCUUUCCAGUGCGCCCUCAGCAGAGUGGGCUGUCAGAAAUGGAACAUCAACUGUAUUAUUCCGCCAGUCAUCUCUGCCAUCGCAAUGUGAUCACACACUCGUAAAUAUAAAUAGGUCAAUCCUGAAGCUAGCCCUUUAG